GACGAACGCUGGCGGCGUGCCUAAUACAUGCAAGUAGAACGCAGUUGCGAACGGGUGAGUAACGCUUAGGUAACUGCCUCAUAUCGUGGGAUAACUAUUGUAAACGAUAGCUAAUACCGCAUACUGUGAGAUGGCACUGCGUUGUAUUAGCUAGUUGGUGAGGUAAAGGCUCACCAAGGCGACGAUACAUAGCCGACCUGAGAGGGUGAUCGGCCACAUGGGGACUGAGAAACGGCCCAGACUCCGACGGUAGGCAGCAGUAGGGAAGCUUCGGCAAUGGACGAAAGUCUGACCGAGCAACGCCGCGUGAGUGAAGAAGGUUUUCGGAUCGUAAAGUUCUGUUGUUAGAGAAGCGUUAUCUAACCAGAAAGCCACGGCUAACUACGUGCCAGCAGCCGCGGUAAUUC
rnacentral:rRNA from 1 species